rnacentral:misc_RNA from 1 species
GUAUUGAUUCGCGCGUGAUCGCGCAAAGAACAUUCUACACUAGGGUGUUUGAUGUUUAAAAACGUGGGCCCCCCCUUCCAGGGGAACUCACGCGGUUGUGCACAAAGGGGUGAGAUGGAUGUGUGAGAGUGCUCGGGCGUGCACGACCUUUAAAAAGGUCAGCGACAGCCCGGGCACCUCCGUUGUAUGAUAAUGAUCCUUCCGCAGGUUCACCUACGGAAA